UGACUUUCAUCUGGAAUGCUGAUUUGGAAUUGUAAAAGAACAACUAGAUAGGUGACCAUUGUUGUUAGCAACUGUAAAGGAAAAAUGGAAUCAAAAAAAUUGUAUCAUUCGAAGUUUCGUCCGGGGAGGAUUUAUUCGCACCCAGCCAAUUCCAGGUGAAAAUCGAUAAUACGAUACAAGUAGAAAAUUAUUAUGAACGGAGAAUUUAAUUAGCUUUCCACAUAAAUGACACCAAAUGUAAAAUGUUAAAUAAAAAUAAUCCGUCUUUAGUUAACUAAAUAACAAUUAACAAAUUUAAGUUACAAGAUGCAGUAUAGAAUAAAAUUUAAAAACGUAUACUUCCUGCAAGUGAAGGCGAGAUGUCCUGAAUAAUAUAUCGAGGUAAGUGGACCCCUGUUCACGUUUUUCGUCUCGGGAAAUUGCGGCGGCAUAACUAACUUGGAAAAGUGUCGAAGACAAAUUGUUAAAACCGCACAAGUUGAGAAGCCCGUUAAUUUUGUGAUAAUUAUCUUAUGAACGAAGAAAUAUACUGAAGUAUGAAAUUAUUUUCAGCUCUUCAUAAUUUGUGUAAUAAAAAA